AGAACGAACGCUGGCGGCGCGCCUAAUACAUGCAAGUCGAGCGAGAAGACGUAGCAAUACGUUUGUAAAGCGGCGAACGGGUGAGGAAUACAUGGGUAACCUACCCUCGAGUGGGGAAUAACUAGCCGAAAGGUUAGCUAAUACCGCGUACGCUCCUUGGACUUCGGUUCAGGGAGGAAAGCGAUACCGUGGGUAUCGCGCUCUUGGAUGGGCCCAUGUCCUAUCAGCUUGUUGGUGAGGUAACGGCUCACCAAGGCUUCGACGGGUAGCUGGUCUGAGAGGACGAUCAGCCACACUGGCACUGCGACACGGGCCAGACUCCUACGGGAGGCAGCAGUAAGGAAUAUUGCGCAAUGGGCGAAAGCCUGACGCAGCGACGCCGCGUGGGGGAUGAAGGUCUUCGGAUUGUAAACCCCUUUCGGGAGGGAAGAUGGAAUGGGGUAACCCAUUCGGACGGUACCUCCAGAAGCAGCCACGGCUAACUUCGUGCCAGCAGCCGCGGUAAUACGAAGGUGGCAAGCGUUGUUCGGAUUUACUGGGCGUACAGGGAGCGUAGGCGGUUCGGUAAGCCCUCUGUGAAAUCUCCAGGCUUAACCUGGAACAGUCGGAGGGGACUGCUGGGCUAGAGGACGGGAGAGGAGCGCGGAAUUCCCGGUGUAGCGGUGAAAUGCGUAGAGAUCGGGAGGAAGGCCGGUGGCGAAGGCGGCGCUCUGGAACGUUUCUGACGCUGAGGCUCGAAAGCGUGGGGAGCAAACAGGAUUAGAUACCCUGGUAGUCCACGCCUUAAACUAUGAAUACUAAGUGUCGGCGGGUUACCGCCGGUGCCGCAGCUAACGCAUUAAGUAUC
rnacentral:rRNA from 1 species